UUAAGUUCAGCGGGUAUCCCUACCUGAUCCGAGGUCAAAGGUUGAAAAAAAGGCUUGCUGGACGCUGACCUUGGCUGGCAAAGAGCGCGACUUGUGCUGCGCUCCGAAACCAGUAGGCCGGCUGCCAAUGACUUUAAGGCGAGUCUCCAGCGAACUGGAGACAAAAGACGCCCAACACCAAGCAAAGCUUGAGGGUACAAAUGACGCUCGAACAGGCAUGCCCUUUGGAAUACCAAAGGGCGCAAUGUGCGUUCAAAGAUUCGAUGAUUCACUGAAUUCUGCAAUUCACACUACGUACCGCAUUUCGCUGCGUUCUUCAUCGAUGCCAGAACCAAGAGAUCCGUUGUUGAAAGUUGUAAUUAAUUACGUUGUUACUGACGCUGAUUGCUAUUGCAAAAGGUUUGUGGUUGGUCCUGAGGGCGGGCGAGCCCACCCAGGAAACAAGAAGUACGCAAAAGACACGGGUGAAUAAUUCAGCAGGGCCGGCCCCGCCGCGCACGCCGUGAAGCAGUGCCCAGCGGGGGGUGUCCAGCCCGCCUUGUUAUUGUGUAAUGAUCCCUCCGCAGGUUCACCUACGGAGACCUUGUUACGACUU
rnacentral:misc_RNA from 1 species